rnacentral:rRNA from 1 species
GACGAACGCUGGCGGCGUGCUUAACACAUGCAAGUCGAACGAAGUGGCGAAGGGGUGAGUAACGCGUAAUCAACCUGCCCUUCAGAGGGGGCAAACAGGAGGAAACGACUGCUAAUAACGCAUACUGAAGGAGGGGAGUGCGUCUGAUUAGCUAGUUGGGGGGGUAACGGCCCACCAAGGCGAUGAUCAGUAGCCGGUCUGAUAGGAUGAACGGCCACCGUGGGACUGAGACACGGCCCAGACUCCUACGGGAUGCAGCAGUGGGGAAUCUUCCGAAAUGGACGAAAGUCUGACGGAGCAACGCCGCGUGAGUGAUGACGUCCUUCGGGUUGUAAAGCUCUGUUAAUCGGGACGCGGUACCGGAAUAGAAAGCCACGGCUAACUACGUGCCAGCAGCCGCGGUAAUAC